UUGCUUUCUUCACAGCACAUAUACUAACAUGGAAACAAUACAGAAAAGAUUAACAUGCCCCCUGUGCAAGAAUAGCACACAAUUCCUUAAAGCAUUCUGUAUUUUG
ensembl:snRNA U6 U6 spliceosomal RNA